rnacentral:lncRNA from 1 species
GCCUGUUUUGACCCUCUGUGAGCUAACAGCUGGGGGUGGGGUGGGGAAGGGGAGGACGGAGAGCAGUAAGUGUGCUGGUUCUUCUUUUGGUCUGUUUAGCAACUUCCCAUGACUUUUGAGCAAGGAACAGGUGUAACCCCUUGCACCCUGAGGUGUGCAGUUGCCUACAUAUGCCUGUGGCCUCAAGGCCAUGUAGAAAUUGUCCCUGGUUCAGCCAAAGCAAAUUCAACUGUGCUUUUUCCCCAAGUCUGCAUUCAGUGACAUCAUGUUGGUGGAUUGAAAUCAGCCACAGUGGGAAUAUUUACACCACAGAAAUGGGCAGCAACCACCACAAAUCAGGGCUUUAUUCAUUAUUUGGUUGACUAUCUAGACUUAAGAGGCAGGGAACCCACGGAGAGUGAGAAUUUGGAGAUUCAGGAAAAGAGGGUACAUGACACGAGGCAGGAGGGUGCAAGGCUGGAGAGAUCAGAGGAUGUAGAAUGAGAAAACCACCUCAUCGAAAAGGGUCUUUGGGUUGUCUUCUACCAGGAAGAGUUUUUAAAUAGGAGUAGCCAGCUACUAGACACGCUAAACACACUGCAUCAGAGUCAAACAUAGAAAAAGAAUAGAUUGACAUGCAGGAAAUUGCGUUUAGCCUUUUACUACCUGAUGUUCAACACUCAGGGAAGGCAAAGGGGGACAGACAAACUUGGGGAAACAAAGAAGAAACAGAAAAGACCAGGAUUUUAAAGUCUCCUGUGUGGUUCAUGAAAAAAUAGAAAAUAAAAAAAGACCAA